UUCCAACGCCUUGGAGCUUUUAGUUCAAUUUGGGCCACCCAUCCUCGUGACACUGCCUAAUCUUAUACCAGAAAAAAUCAACAAGCUCAAACUCUUUGGAAGAUCAUCACUGCUCAAACUUCAUUUCCUGAUUAGAGACCAAAUUGAUCACUCCAACCAAUGAUAGUCUGUGGUGGUGGAAGUUAAUCAAAAUAAAAAAGGAGUUGAGAGACAAAAUCAAAUAUAAAAUUG